rnacentral:rRNA from 1 species
GACGAACGCUGGCGGCGUGCUUAACACAUGCAAGUCGAACGGAAAGGCCCUGCUUUUGUGGGGUGCUCGAGUGGCGAACGGGUGAGUAACACGUGAGUAACCUGCCCUUGACUUUGGGAUAACUUCAGGAAACUGGGGCUAAUACUGGAUAGGAGCUCCUGCUGCAUGGUGGGGGUUGGAAAGUUUAGGCGGUUGGGGAUGGACUCGCGGCUUAUCAGUUUGUUGGUGGGGUAGUGGCUUACCAAGGCUUUGACGGGUAGCCGGCCUGAGAGGGUGACCGGCCAGACUGGGACUGAGAUACGGCCCAGACUGCUACGGGAGGCAGCAGUGGGGAAUAUUGCACGAUGGGCGGAAGCCUGAUGCAGCAACGCCGCGUGCGGGAUGACAGCCUUCGUGUUGUAUGCCGCUUUCGCCUGUGACGAAGCGUGAGUGACAGUAAUGGGUAAAGAAGCACCGGCUAACUACGUG